CAAGGAUCACUGUAUUUAGAAGUAUAAUUCAGCCCCAUUUUGACUACUGUUCAAGUGCUUUAUAUUUAGGUGAUAAAGGAUCAAUUCAAUCAUUGCAAAUUUUGUAUAACAGAGGUAUGAGAACAAUUCUUCGAUGCAAUCGCUACACGCCAAUUGAGAUUAUGUACUCUACUUUAGGUUGGUUUUCAGUUCAACAAAGGCUAUGGUUUUCAUUUAUUCUACCUUACUAUGGUUUUCAUUUUUAAAUUAAAAAAAGGAAUGCUGCCUGCAUAUUUUAAUGAAUAUGUUACAUUGAGGGGUCAAGUUCAUUCAUAUACCAUGAGAAAUAUUGAAGAUUUUGAUAUUCAAAAAACUAAUAAACAUAGCACAAUGACAUCCCUGUUUUACAAAUGUAUGAAUGAAUUUAACCAUCUUCCCCCCAGUGUUAAGAAUGCACUGACAGUUC
rnacentral:lncRNA from 1 species